CCAAACAGGGAUUGCCCUAGUAACGGCGAGUGAAGCGGCAACAGCUCAAAUUUGAAAUCUGGCCCUAGGCCCGAGUUGUAAUUUGCAGAGGAUGCUUCGGGCGCGGUGCCUUCCCAAGUCCCCUGGAACGGGGCGCCAGAGAGGGUGAGAGCCCCGUACGGUCGGCCGCUAAGCCUGUGUGAAGCUCCUUCGACGAGUCGAGUAGUUUGGGAAUGCUGCUCAAAAUGGGAGGUAGACCCCUUCUAAAGCUAAAUACCGGCUAGAGACCGAUAGCGCACAAGUAGAGUGAUCGAAAGAUGAAAAGAACUUUGAAAAGAGGGUUAAACAGCACGUGAAAUUGUUGAAGGGGAAGCGCUUGUGACCAGACUUGCGCCGGGGCGAUCAUCCAGCGUUCUCGCUGGUGCACUCGCCCCGGCGCAGGCCAGCGUCGGUUCGGGAGGGGGGACAAAGGUGUCUGGAACGUGGCUCCCCCGGGAGUGUUAUAGCCAGGCUCGCCAUGCCCCCGCCCGGACCGAGGUUCGCGCUCUGCAAGGACGCUGGCGUAAUGGUCACCAGCGGCCCGUCUUGAAACACGGACCAAGGAGUCGAGGUUCUGCGCGAGUGUUUGGGUGACAAACCCGCACGCGCAAUGAAAGUGAACGCAGGUGGGAGCUUCGGCGCACCACCGACCGAUCCUGAUGUUCUCGGAUGGAUUUGAGUACGAGCGUAGGGCCUCGGACCCGAAAGAUGGUGAACUAUGCUUGGAUAGGGUGAAGCCAGAGGAAACUCUGGUGGAGGCUCGCAGCGGUUCUGACGUGCAAAUCGAUCGUCAAAUCUGAGCAUGGGGGGCGAAAGACUAAUCGAACCAU
rnacentral:rRNA from 1 species